rnacentral:lncRNA from 1 species
GUUUCUGGAGGAGAAGACUUGACACAUGGCUUCAAUCUCCUUUCUCUGGCGGCAUGUGAAUCCAGCCAGUUGGCAGAUUCCAGGUCUGUAGCAGAAAUAUAGGCUGCUUUUCUUGCACUGAGCUUGGGUUCUGCUGUUAUAGCAGAAACGAGCUUCUCACAACACGUGAAAUGUAAUCUAAUAGGAGAAGAAAAGAAAUAAGGCAGGAGUGGCAGAGGUGAGGAGCACAUGGAGCCAUAUGUAGAUUACAGAUAAUAUAAUAUCAAAAUAAUACAGAGCUAAUAUUGCCAAUUGUUAUACAGGUAGCUAUCCAUAAAAACAGGAGCUUUCACCAUUUCAGUUGUUCAUGUAAUGUAGCAUCUGUUCAAAACCCAACAUUGUUGCAAUAUUUGAUUCUUUCAGGCUUUAAUAAUUUUUAUCUAAGAUGGCUAUGAUCAAAAAUACAUUAUUUCUUAUCCUUUUUUUUGUAUGUGAAUUGAACUGGAUGGAGUCAGAUAUCUGGGAAUUCUAAUAUAGUUCCACUGUCUGUUAGUUAUAUGGUAUUAGACAACUAACUUAUCUCAUUGGACAUCA